rnacentral:rRNA from 1 species
AGAGUUUGAUCUUGGCUCAGGACGAACGCUGGCGGCGUGCCUAAUACAUGCAAGUCGAGCGAGCUUGCCUAGAUGAUUUUAGUGCUUGCACUAAAUGAAACUAGAUACAAGCGAGCGGCGGACGGGUGAGUAACACGUGGGUAACCUGCCCAAGAGACUGGGAUAACACCUGGAAACAGAUGCUAAUACCGGAUAACAACACUAGACGCAUGUCUAGAGUUUGAAAGAUGGUUCUGCUAUCACUCUUGGAUGGACCUGCGGUGCAUUAGCUAGUUGGUAAGGUAACGGCUUACCAAGGCAAUGAUGCAUAGCCGAGUUGAGAGACUGAUCGGCCACAUUGGGACUGAGACACGGCCCAAACUCCUACCCCACGCAGCAGUAGGGAAUCUUCCACAAUGGACGAAAGUCUGAUGGAGCAACGCCGCGUGAGUGAAGAAGGGUUUCGGCUCGUAAAGCUCUGUUGGUAGUGAAGAAAGAUAGAGGUAGUAACUGGCCUUUAUUUGACGGUAAUUACU